rnacentral:rRNA from 1 species
ACUCCUACGGGAGGCAGCAGUGGGGAAUAUUGCACAAUGGGCGCAAGCCUGAUGCAGCCAUGCCGCGUGUGUGAAGAAGGCCUUCGGGUUGUAAAGCACUUUCAGUCGUGAGGAAGGUAGUGUAGUUAAUAGCUGCAUUAUUUGACGUUAGCGACAGAAGAAGCACCGGCUAACUCCGUGCCAGCAGCCGCGGUAAUACGGAGGGUGCGAGCGUUAAUCGGAAUUACUGGGCGUAAAGCGCACGCAGGCGGCUUGUUAAGCUAGAGGUGAAAGCCCCGCGCUCAACGUGGGAACUGCCUUUAGAACUGGCAGGCUAGAGUCUUGGAGAGGGGAGUGGAAUUCCAGGUGUAGCGGUGAAAUGCGUAGAUAUCUGGAGGAACAUCAGUGGCGAAGGCGGCUCCCUGGCCAAAGACUGACGCUCAUGUGCGAAAGUGUGGGUAGCGAACAGGAUUAGAUACCCUGGUAGGAUAGCGU